rnacentral:sRNA from 1 species
UUUUGUCAGUUCUAAUUUGUAUAUAUAGACAGAAAUGUAAGCUUAGAAUCACAAAGGGACAAUACUGCCUAUAGUAACGUUGUCAUUUUCAGCUGCCAAAUCCCAACAAUGAAGGCCAUAAUUCUUCUAACCAUUUUGCUGGUGUCUUGUGUUGCUUAUGGUGAACGUUUGUCUGAAGAGGCCAGAGCAUUAAGUGAAGAUACUGCUGUAGAGCAAGAACUAUCUGAAAGCAGUGAAUUAAAAAAACGUGCUGGAAAAGAAUGUAGUUUUAUUGGAACAGUUUGUUAUCCUGGAUAACUUUGAAGUAGACAAAGAAAGAGCUGGCUGGAGAUUGGCCAAUCGUUUCUAACAUUCCAUUUAUUUAAAGCCAAUAAAAUAUAUAGAAACAAA